AUUAAUUAAUAAAAAUAUAUUAUUCAUGUUGAGUUCCCGGUGUGACUGUAUUUGAUGAUACCCCUAAGAGGUAAUGUGGGUUAAAUGGGCUCAUAGGACUGACUACCUUAUAAAGGGAAAACCAGGCUGCACCUGAUUUUGGACACACACACACACACACACACACACACACACACACACCCGCCUCCAGAUCUUCAAGAGUACAGGUUUCUGUUGUGUAAGCCAUCUGAUCUGGAACAUGGUAUUUCGCUAUAGCCAUCCACACUGUUAAAGGCAGGGGAUAUUCUUACCGUUCUUGCUUGCUUGUUUCUGUGUGGUGAAUAUGAAUUACCUUAUUACUUAAGGAACAAUAAACGUGAGCUCUUUAUCCUUUUGGCUUCACCGUGCUGACAGGGUGAGACAUAAUUCUCUGAGUCUCCUUCGAGAUCAGUGUCUGGGCAGGUGAGGUAAGGUUGCAUCGACAAUCCUUCUCCACAGAGUGAAACUCUGAUGUUUCCUGUGCCCCGGAUGUCCAGAGGUAGGCUUGUAACCCUUUACCCCAAGCCUCACGGGUAACUCGUAACUUACUCUGAACCAUGUUUGUGUUUAAAUCACAUGUCUGAAUGUGUGAGUGGUGCAGGAGCACUCAGGAAGCUGAGGCAGAAGAGUCAUGAAUUGGAGAUCAACCUGAGCUACAAAGUGAGCCCUCACCUCCAACACACAAGCCAGCAACUUCUAAAAGCAAGUGAGCAUUCCCUAUAUAUUCUGCCAGCUCAGUCAGUUACUGAAUCGGAAUUGCUACUGCACUUUUUGACAAAGACCUUGGGGUACUGUGAUGAUUCGUGGGCAUCGGGUAUGUCUGUCCAUCCAGAAGACGUUUAUCUGUGCCUGAAGCGUGAGAGGCAUUGAGCCAAACCCAAGGAGAGCAGCGUUGAAUACAAUAUUCAGAUCUGCUGUCGGCGAGGACGGUCCACUGGGGAGCUAGACAAGUUCACAAGCAUUAUCCACAGCACUCCGACACUGAGAAGAGGAUUCUAUCGAGAUCCCUGUGCUCUGUUUGCUUAAUAGCAGGGCUGACAGCGUGAGCGGCUCAAUGUCCUUCCCCUUUGUCCUGUGAUGUCUCCAGAAUUGGGGAGUUGAAGAUGGUGUGUAAUUUGCAAUUGUAAGACAUCUCUUUAGGAACGGCUUAUUUUCCCGGUGGCUCUGAUGUCUGUGUGAACUCUGCACGUUAACGAACUUAUGGGUCCCCCCGCCACCCCACUUUGUGAAUCUGCCUCUUGUCAAAGGCGGUUCAUCAAGCUAAGGCCUAUGGGAGUUAUUCUCUGACACCUUGGGGGCACUGUGACUUUCUUCCCCUUGGCCAACAUCUGCAGCGUCAGCUUUCUUCUUUCAGAGCUCCCUACACUACUCCCCCUUCCCCUCAGCACUCUGCAACCACCUCAGUCACCCCACAUCCUUGGUGAGGAUAAACAUUUCCCUACUGGGAUUAGA
rnacentral:sRNA from 1 species